GCAUGCAGUCGUGCGGAAGGCCCCUUCGGGGGUACUCGAGCGGCGAAAGGGAGAGUAACGCGUGGAUAUCUACCCUCAGAUCCGGGAUAGCGGCGGGAAACUGCCGGUAAUACCGGAUAAUGUCUCCGGACCAAAGGUGUGAUUCCGUCUGGGGAUGAGUCCGCGCCCUAUUAGCUAGUUGGCGAGGUAAUGGCUCACCAAGGCUCUGAUGGGUACCGGGCGUGAGAGCGUGGCCCGGCUCACUGGGACUGAGACACUGCCCAGACACCUACGGGUGGCUGCAGUCGAGAAUCUUCGGCAAUGGGCGCAAGCCUGACCGAGCGACGCCGCGUGCGGGAUGAAGGCCUUCGGGUUGUAAACCGCUGUCAGUUGGGAGGAAAUGCCAGGGGGUUCUCUCCCUGGUUUGACCGAUCUUCAGAGGAAGUACGGGCUAAGUUCGUGCCAGCAGCCGCGGUAACACGAACCGUACGAACGUUAUUCGGAAUCACUGGGCUUAAAGCGUGCGUAGGCGGCGUGGCAAGUUGGGUGUGAAAUCCCUCGGCUCAACCGAGGAAUGGCGCCCAAAACUGUCAUGCUCGAGGGAGAUAGGGGUGAGCGGAACUAAUGGUGGAGCGGUGAAAUGCGUUGAUAUCAUUAGGAACACCGGCGGCGAAGGCGGCUCACUGGGUCUCUUCUGGCGCUGAGGCACGAAAGCUAGGGGAGCGAACGGGAUUAGAUACCCCGGUAGUCCUAGCUGUAAACGAUGAGCACUGGGUGGAGGAACCUUUCACAGUUUCUCGGCCGUAGCGAAAGUGUUAAGUGCU
rnacentral:rRNA from 1 species